rnacentral:rRNA from 1 species
AUAGCAUAUCAAUAAGCGGAGGAAAAGAAACUACAAGGAUUCCCCUAGUAACUGCGAGUGAAGCGGGAAAAGCUCAAAUUUAAAAUCUGGCAGUCUUUGGCUGUCCGAGUUGUAAUCUGGAGAAGUGCUUUCCGCGCUGGACCGUGUACAAGUCUCUUGGAAUAGAGCGUCAUAGAGGGUGAGAAUCCCGUCUUUGACACGGACUACCAGUGCUUUGUGAUGCGCUUUCAAAGAGUCGAGUUGUUUGGGAAUGCAGCUCAAAAUGGGUGGUAAAUUCCAUCUAAAGCUAAAUAUUGGCGAGAGACCGAUAGCGAACAAGUACCGUGAGGGAAAGAUGAAAAGCACUUUGGAAAGAGAGUUAAACAGUACGUGAAAUUGCUGAAAGGGAAACGCUUGAAGUCAGUCGCGUUGUUCAGAACUCAGCCUGGCUUUGGCUUGGUGCAUUUUCUGAAUAACGGGCCAGCAUCAAUUUUGACUGUUGGAUAAAGGCCAGGGAAAUGUGGCUCCCUUGGGAGUGUUAUAGUCCUUGGUUGCAUACAAUGGUUGGGAUUGAGGAACUCAGCAUGCCUUUAUGGUCGGGGUUCGCCCACGUUCAUGCUUAGGAUGCUGGCGUAAUGGCUUUAAACGACCCGUCUUGAAACACGGACCAAGGAGUCUAACAUGCCUGCGAGUGUUUGGGUGGAAAACCCGAGCGCGCAAUGAAAGUGAAAGUUGGGAUCUCUGUCGUGGAGAGCACCAAUGCCCGGACCAGACCUUCUGUGACGGUUCCGCGGUAGAGCAUGUAUGUUGGGACCCGAAAGAUGGUGAACUAUGCCUGAAUAGGGUGAAGCCAGAGGAACUCUGGUGGAGGCUCGUAGCGAUUCUGACGUGCAAAUCGAUCGUCAAUUUGGGUAUAGGGCGAAAGACUAAUCGAACCAUCUAGUAGCUGGUCCUGCGC